GGGGAAUAUUGCACAAUGGAGGAAACUCUGAUGCAGCGACGCCGCGUGAGUGAAGAAGUAGUUCGCUAUGUAAAGCUCUAUCAGCAGGGAAGAUAGUGACGGUACCUGACUAAGAAGCUCCGGCUAAAUACGUGCCAGCAGCCGCGGUAAUACGUAUGGAGCAAGCGUUAUCCGGAUUUACUGGGUGUAAAGGGAGUGUAGGUGGCCAGGCAAGUCAGAAGUGAAAGCCCGGGGCUCAACCCCGGGACUGCUUUUGAAACUGCAGGGCUAGAGUGCAGGAGGGGCAAGUGGAAUUCCUAGUGUAGCGGUGAAAUGCGUAGAUAUUAGGAGGAACACCAGUGGCGAAGGCGGCUUGCUGGACUGUAACUGACACUGAGGCUCGAAGGCGUGGGGAGCAAAC
rnacentral:rRNA from 1 species